GGUAACUAGUCAAUGCUCAAUAGGUCAGCUGCCCGUCAUCAAACGGUAGUAGUUUGUGCUACAAAGUUAGCAGCCAUUUUAAAGGCUUCUACCAGCAAUUGAGUCAUUCAACCAAAGUUAAAAAAAAAAAAAAAAAGUUUGCAGACAUUUUUACCACAGUAGCUCAAUUUGUUACUGUAAUUAGCCGUGUAACAAUGUUUCAGUUUUAAGUAAAAGGCAGUUUUCUCCGAAAGAGCGUCUUCACUUGUUUUAUGCCUCUUUGGCAUACAAAUUAAGUUGCUUACAUCAAGCUAAGAUGUUACCUGUUUUUUAUUUUUUUAUUUUUUAAAGCUACAGAAAUUGUUCAGUUCCUUGUAUCAAGCUGAGUUUCAUAUCAGGUUUUUUAUUUUUUUUUAUUUUAUUUUUCUCCUACUUUAAACUGCCCUGAGGCAGUGGACUGAGUUAUUGGGAGGAAUGGACUUAGUAGUUUAGAGGAAGAAUGGACUUAGUCUUAGAAGAUCACGGAUUCAGCGACAUAUGAGGCCGAUGGUGAAGCGCGAGUGCGGUUGGACCAGAGGGCGAACCAGGCAGGACAGGACCCGAUCGUGUGGUUGGACCGGAGGGUGUACCAGGCAGGACAGGAUCAGAGGGGUCCAAAAGAGCAGCAGUGGUCACCAGAUGGCGCCAGAGGCAGGGUAGCACCAGCAAAGGUCCAGUGUUGAAGCAGUACAGCAGAUCCAGAGCAAGCCAGCCAAGAGGGUGGGACAGGGUGUCCUGAGUCUUCAUGCUGAGUUAAUCACAAAGGUGUUGGUUUGUAUAAUGGUAGAGGUAUUUGUAACAGGCCCUUUUUAUCAAAUUUCACUCUAAAACCUUUUGUAGGACCCAAUAUCUCGCACAGAUCUCUCUUCCCCUUUUUCAGGCUAUCUCUGUAAAGUGUUUCAUACCUUGAUCACCAAUCCUGUUUCGUGCUGACUUGCGUGGUGGUGUCCACUGGGACGAAUGCCUUGGUAGUGCGGUGGCGAGAGCAACACCUUAUCGGAAUUCUCUACCCCCUCUGCGAUCACAACUAGUUCCCCACCCUGCUGGAGAGAGGCUGGUCCCUUGUUCACUAGGCCUACUCGAGAAGUUUGUCUAAAUUCUUUUUCUCGUACAUGUGAAUGGUGGGUGGGAAGGGGAGGGGCGUGUUAACCAGUUUCUUCCUAGACUUCACAGCUCAAGUUUCCCUUCAAGUUUCCCUUCACAAUGGCUUGCUUGUAUAAGAAUCAGCCCAGUGUGCCAAACAUCAUUCAAGUGGACAAAUUGCCUCACAGGAUAGCAGCUCCUAAAGUAGUCUCCUGGUGUAGCCAGAGCACAUUUGGAAUGUGGUAAAUGUUUCUUUACUAGAAGUCAUUUGCAAUUCUGUACAGGCAUUCUUCUGUGGGUUGGGGCUGUGUCUUUGCUACUUUUGCAGAUUGUUAACCAGUCCUUCAGUAAGCUACAUCCAAGUCAUCGUCUUCACGGCAAUGCAUAAGGUGGAAAUCCUUCGUGUUCACAGUUGCGGUAUUUAAUAACUAUCGAAAAAAAUCUUACUACUUCCAGUUGUCCAUAGAAAAAGUAGCAUGUUGUAACACUUAUUUUGCAAUGCAUUGUAUUUUGGGUGGGGUCCUGUGGUGGAGGCUUUUUCCUUUGCAUUUUUCAGUGUGCUGUGUCCUGUGCGCUUUCAAAUUCCUGAGACCACCUGGAAGUCUCCUAACUCAUUGUAUGUACACGUUCCUUGCGCUUCGAGCAUCACGUAAGCUCAUUAAAUGUAUUCAUUUUUAAUGUUCAUUGUCUGGUUUAAAUCCUCCAUUGCAAUGCCUUUGCAAUUAGUUACAAUCCUUUGUAUUGAUAAUACAAGUGAACUAUUUGUAAAGGAUUUUCUACCUGCAUAAUAAAUGCAUAGCUUGUUGUGAUUGAAUACAGUAUUGGUAUGUAUUUGUUCUUUGGGGGGGCUUUUUUGGGGGAGCUCUUCUUGUGCUUUUCAGGUAUUUAAGCUUGGAGCUUUUGUAGAGCACGGAUGUGACCAGGGGUUGAAUGCUCCCUUUCAAAGUGGAAAUUGAAGGCAGAUAAGUGGAAUCCAUCAAAUAUUGAUACUGGAAUGCAGCUAAUUCCUAAAACCUACUUGAUGGGUUCUGUAUUUUGAAUGGGCUAAGCUGCCCUCAUCUCAAAAGCAAAUUGCUAUACAUAACUUUAUACAUAGCAUUGCUUUGUCUUUUUGUGCUGAGAGACUCAUUUGAUGGUGUAGUCAUAUCUGCAGUAAAGCAUUCGGGUAAGGAUAACAAUAGUCAGUUCUAUGAUUUUAUUUUUUUUCGUGGGGAAUUUUAUGGGUUGUAGGGGUUUUCUCUCUGAUCCUACAGAGCGGUCUACAAAGGAGGAUUGCGUGCUCUCCAUGACAUGAGAAUCUCGCUGACCUAUGAAAUCAACCGUCACAUUUGUCAGGUUUUGAUUACUUGGCAAUAUAGGUCCUCAGCUACAAGCCCUUGCGCAACUGUGCUAGUGGCAGAUGUCUGUCUUAAAAUGGAAAUAUGCCCACAAUCAUGCAACUGUGUGAAGUUUCGUAGCUGAGGAAAGCUGUGCAUUGUGCAGCUUGGAUUAGGUUUAAAAUGCAACGCAAAUGUGUUGCACUAAGUGCGUUGGUUGUGGUUGUUUGUAUCCCUGCACUUCUCUUUACAGAGCUCAGGUUGAGACUGAUGCAGGAAUGUCAUCUAACCCAGAGAAUAGUAAGAUUCUGACUUGGUCAAAAUGAACAAUUUUAGGCCUUGGAACUGGCUUUAUGUUAACCUCAUCAAUAUCAAUGCUUUACUCGUGAGUUCCUCUUUGGCCAGUGGGUGCCCUUGCUUUGCAUCUUAAAUUUAAGAUGAUUAGAAAUAAGUUUUCUGUGCUGGGUGUGUUGUGUAGAUCACUCUUUGUUUCAGAUUGUUUUCAUCUGUCCACUCCGACCUUACCCGCCUCUGAAUGCAAAGCCGUCUGUGGAAGCUGUCGACGAAUAUGUGUAGCCCCUGAAUGAAGUAUCAACCCUGUGUUCGCUUGAGCUUAAAGCUGACGUCCUUCGCAGAAGCCCGGCUCUCUUUCUCCGUGUGUGUGUGUGUGCCUCUUUCCAUUUGGUUUCUCAGGUCAAAUUUCCAAAUUCUCAAUAUGGUGUCGGGAAUGGGCUAACCUGUGAUGGAACAGAAUCCAGUCACUUAGAUCAACAGCAGCAAGUUUGUUUACCCCUAAUGCAUCACUUGGCGUGGGUUCGAAGUUAAGUAAUUUCAGUUCCCUUAAUCUUCAUGCCAUGGCUUUAAAGUAACUACUUUUGCUGCAUGUACAUCAGCUCUGCAUAACCUGUUUGUACAUUAUGUGCGUAAAAAUGUUUGUACAUUAUGUGCGUAAAAAUGUUAAGUUGCAAUGCCAAGCUGUUGGGGAGUUUGUGGGGUUGGGGCGCAACAAUCUCUUUGUCUUUUCAGAGUUCUUUCAGCAUAAAUCACUCGACUCGCAACUUAAGCCUCAGCGCCAGGUCAUUGGAUGCCUUGAUUCUGCCACCCUAGUUUAAUUUCUUGGAAGAAUUGUGCAUCAGAGAGGAAGAGUAGCCUGGUGAUUUAAGUUUCCACUGUCGGCGGUAAACAAUCAUUUCUUCUAUUGGAUGAGCAUCGUUAAAUGUUUUGGGGUUUAUGGGAGGGAGGGGGUGGGAAGCCUCAUUGUCCUGUUUUUUUCCCUCCCUUAGUACAGCAUUGACAGUUCGUUUGACCCGAGCUUCCAGUCCAGUAUCGUUUGUGAGGGGGGGAAAAUGGAUUUGCGGUCCAGCGUUGCGUUCCACCAUAGAUGCUGGUAUCAUGUUUAAUGAAAGGGUACUGUGGAGUCAAUCAUCCACCCAUACAUUAUAGUUGCGGGAAAUGCUGGGGUGCGGGGGGCAACCAGUUGUCUUCUAGUUUCAGCCUCGUGUCCAGACUUAACCCCAUGCAGUGACAAGAUCACAUAGCGGCCAGGUCUUCAUGGGUUUUCUUUUCCUGGAGGAACAAGCUUCUAGCUUUGUUCCUCCAGGUUUUGCUUUUGCCCGCAGUACAGUAACAAAAAGCAAAAGACUCCGGUGGUGGCACUCCUGACUUUUGUCGGGAUGGGGUUCAAUUCCCUGCGGUGUCUUGCUUUAGCAGUGUGCUGUGGCUAAACUAAAAUCUACUUGGUGUUGAAAAAGUUACUUUAGUCUCCACUAAAUUGCCAUAAAUCCACCAUAUAACGGGGGUUGGUUACCUUACAAAACUGGGUCAAACCGAAGUAGCUGUCGGGGGGUCUUUUCUGGACCCUGGUAGGACAACCAAAUAAAUAAAUAAAAAAAAGUGAAUAGCCCAAAAUACAGGACAUUCAUAGCCCAUAACGGUCUCAACCAGGUGUGGGCAGCUUAAAUGAGAGUGGGGGCCAUGAGACUUUCCUUGGCUGGUUUCUCUUACUGCAGCUUUCUUCAUUGUCACUAGGCUUUUCACCAGGGGUUUGUUUUUUUUUGGGGGGGGGGGGGGUUUCAGGCCGCAUUGUACUUAUGCUUUCCCUCAGAGGGCCUUUAGAACAGUGAAACCAUUCAUUCAUUAUAAAUGAUUAAUCAUCACCAAAACAUUACUAUUACACAACACAUUGAGGCAUAAGUUUUGAAUUAAGACAAGGCUAAUAGUUUAUUCAAGUAUUGUUUACUGUCAGAAGGGUUUGGUAAAAGAAAAAUGCAAUAUCUCGACAUGACAAUUUGGGUACAGAUUUUAGCAAAAAUCACAGAAGUUGACAAACAUGAUUUGCUUUCGCGGUUCACAUAAAAUGAUGCGUCGGGCCGCAUCCGGGCCUUGAGUUUGACACCUAUGCUUUACACGAUCAGGAUUUUGGGGGCGAUCAAGUUUAUAAAAAAAAAAAAAAAACGAUCACCAGAUGGAGCAAUGUAUGUGUCCAUUUAAAUGAUGUGUUCAUUUCCUGUGUAUACUGUAUUUUCACGACCAUAAGGCGCACCGUAUUAAAAGGUGCAGUCUCAGUUACGGUCUUUCUGUAUUUAACACAUGCAUAAGACGCAGCGUAUUCAGCGCAGGCAUGGUAGAACAUACGCUAGCUUAAAAGAUAAGGUAGCAUGCAUGCUAGCGUAUAUUUUUAAAAAGGCGGCGGGAGCAAAACUGAAUUCGGUUGUACUUGAUUGAAGUAUUUAACAAUGUACUAACAAUAUUUUUUUUAUCAAUUCUCAUCCACAAAUCAAAGUCCUCAUCUUCUGUAUCCGAAAUGAACAGCUGGGCAAGUUCUCCAUCAAACAUGCCGUGUUCCCUAUCAUUUUAAUACUAUAUGCUAUCAAGCAGGCAACAAAAUGUUAUGGAGCCUAGCAAGCUAGUGCUAGCACUAAUGGUUCUAAGCAAACAUGCAGGCAUUGUCGAAUCAAGCUCUCAAGUUUUUGUGAGAAGUAAUUUAAUUACAAUAAAGUAAUUCAAUUAUAGUAAGUUAGCACCCAUUAUUUCUGUCAUGUAAUGUUGGUUUGACUUGACUGAUUAGAAUACAUGAUCUGACUAGAACAGUGAUUUCCAAGCUUUAUGGAGCCAUGGCACAUUUUACAAUCUCACGGCACACCAAAAAACAAAAAUGUCACAAAAAGUGGAUAAAUUACUGUAUGUACUUCCUGUCAUCUAAUAGAUGACCAUUUGUUCUGUCACUAUGCCUCACUGGCAUAGCUAUUGUAAAUAGAUUUUUUUAGCAAUUAAGUACACAAUUAUAUACAAUAAAUGAACAAGUAAUUUAAAUACACAUUGCUCCAUCUUGUGAUCUGAUCGGUUAUCGUUUUUUUGACCAGGUUGUUCAGCAUUCUAGCGGGGGAGAAGAAGCCUGAGGAAUGGAGGGACAGUGUGCUGGUGCCCAUCUUUAAGAACAAGGGUGAUGUGCAGAGCCGUGGGAACUAUAGAGAAUUAAGGCGGUUGAUGAGCCACACAUUGAAGUUAUGGGAAAGAGUAGUGGAGGCUAGACUCAGGACAACUAUCUGUAGGCAACAGUAUGAUUUCCUAGAAAGAGUAGCGCAAAUGCCUUGGUGUUUAUGGAGAAGUACAGAGGCCAGAAGGAGCUACAUUGUGUCUUUGUAGAUCUAGCGAAAGCCCAUCUAUCUGUCUGUGUUUCUAUCUAUCUAGCUCCUGUAUAUAGACAUAUAGCUGAUAUACACUAUAUUGCCAAAUGUAAUUGGCUCACCUGCCUUGAUUCACAUGAACUGCAGUGACAUCUCAUUCCUAAUCCAUAAGGGUUCAAUAUGACGGCCCAUUGCAGCUAUAUAACAACUUAAACUCUUCUGGGAAGGCUCUCCACAAGUAUUAGGAAUGUGUUUAUCGGACUUUUUGAUAGACUUUACCUUUUUGAUAGACUACACCGAUUUUUAUCAGCUGAUCGGUAUCGGACAAUAUUUAGCAUUUUAUGCUGAUCGGCUUUAAUGUCACCAUUCGCCGAUUGAUCGGCUCCGCAAAAGACAUUACGUCCGCGUCGCUGCGUGCACAGUAUAUUUGAAUCCAAAGGCUAGUUUAUUUUUUAGCCUUGUCGCGUGUCUUUCGACGUAGUACUGUAAAUAUCUGACGACCAAUGAAGUUAUUUAAAAAAAAAAAAAAUAAAAUAAAAAAAAAAAACCAUGUCGGCGGUGUGGAACAGGCAACACGUAAUGCCCCGGAUCAGACUACAAGACAAAUUUGCUCUUUCACGAUUGCACUGUCAGACUAAUGCAAUAAAAUCUUGUAUUCCGAUACCACAGCAUCCCGUUUUUUAUGAUCAUUGGGCUUUAUCUUGUCAACUAAAAUGCGACCAGAUACACUCGUUAACGUGGCGACGACAAGAGUGGAGUGCGGCAACUUUGUAUUAGAAAAUGUUAUGUAGCCUAGCAAACUAGUGCUAGCACGAACGGUUGGACGUAAACAUGCCGCAGUUCUGUCGAAUCAUGCUGUAAAGUUUCUGUGUGGGGGAAGUCAUUUAAUUAAAAAUGUAUUUACAGUAAGUUAGCACCCAUUAUUUCUGUCACGUAAUGUUGGUUCUACCUGACUGAUUAGAAUACACGAUAUGACUAGAGCAGUGAUUUCCAACCUUACGGAGUCAAGGAACAAAUUUUACAAUUGAAAAAUCUCACGGCACACCAACAAACAAAAAUGUCACAAAAAGUGGAUACAUUAAUUACUGUAUUUGUUUCCUGCCAUCUAAUAGAAGACCAUUCAUUUGUUCUGUCACUGGCAUAAAUAGAGGAACAAAGAUAGAUUAGCCAUCCAACCAUUUUCUGAGCCGCUUCUCCUCACUAGGGUCGCGGGCGUGCUGGAGCCUAUCCCAGCUAUCAUCGGGCAGGAGGCGGGGUGCACUCUGAACUGGUUGCCAGCCAAUCGCAGGGCACAUACAAACUAACAACCAUUCGCACGCACAGUCACACCUACGGGCAAUUUAGAGUCUUCAAUUAAUGCAUGUUUUUGGGAUGUGGGAGGAAACCGGAGUGCCCGGAGAAAACCCACGCAGGCACGGGGAGAACAUGCAAACUCCACACAGGCGGGGCCGGGGAUUGAACCCGGGUCCUCAGAACUGUGAGGCAGACGCUCUAACCAGUUGGGCCACCGUGCCCAGGUCAUUUGAAGAGACAUUCCUCCAUCUUGUUAUCGUUUUUGUAAACUCACUGAUCGGUGAUCGGCCCCAAUAAUCCUGAUCGUGUAAAGCCUACUUUUUGACCAUUGCCUCAGAAGCACAUUUGUGAGGUCACACACUCUGAUGUUGGAUGAAAAGGCCUGGCUCUAAUUCAUCCCAAAGGUUUUCUAUCAGGUUGAGGUCAGGACUCUGUGCAGGCCAGUCAAAUUCAUCCACAUGAUACACUGUCAUCCAUGUCUUUAUAGACCUUUCUUUGUGCACUGGUGCACAGUCAAUGUUGAAAGAGGAAGGUGCUAGCUCCAAACUGUUCCCACAAAGUUGGGAGCAUGGAAUUGUCCAAAAUCUAUUGGUUCCUUUCACUGGAACUAAGGGGCCACGCCCAGUUCCUGAGACACAACCCCACACCAUAAUCCCCCCUCCACCAAACUUUACACUUGGCACAAUGCAGUCAGACAAGUCCAUCGGAUUGUCAGAUGGAGAAGCGCGAUUCUUCACUCCAGAGAAUGCGUCUACUGCUCUAGAGUCCAGUGGCAGCGUGCAUUUCACCACUGCAUCCGACGCUUUGCAUUGCAAUUGGUGGGAUGUAUGGCUUGGAUGCAGCUGCUCAGCCAUGGAAACUCAUUCCAUCAAGCUCUGUGCGCACUGUUCUUCAAUUAAUCUGAAGGCCACAUAAAGUUUGGAGGUCUGUAGCGAUUGACUGCAGAAAGCUGGCGACCUCUUCACACUUUGCGACUUUCCACUGCCCUGUGCUUCACGGAGACAUGGCUUUGUGAACGCGUCCCCGGUGGCUCCGUAAUCCUUCCGGGUUUCCAACUACACCUGGCAGACCGCGUCACGGAGUUAUCGGGGAAAACAAAAGGAUUUUCUGUUAAAGAGCAGAAUUCAUGGUUCCAUCAAUCAAAGCAAGUUGUCCAGGUCCUGAAGAAGCAAGCAGCCCAAGACCAUCACACCACCUGGUACCACCAUGUUUGACUGUUGGUAUGAUGAUGUUCUUCUGAAAUGCUGUGCUACCUUUAUGCCAGAUGUAAUGAGACCAGAGGCAGGUAGGGAUGCGUUACAUUUACUCAGUUACAUUUACUCAAGUAAAGGUUAAGAUAAAUUGUACAGAGUAGUUUUAAUCCAGCAUACUUUUUACUUUUACUCAAGUUUGAAGAAAGGAGUAGAAGAAACGGUACUUUUUCUCCAUUACAAUGAUCUACAUGCCGGUCGCUACUUUUAUUUAUCAUCCAUCUGUUCAUUUUCCAUACCACUUAUACUCACUCGUGUCGGCAUGUUGGAGUCUAUUGCUUAUCUUAUUUUUCGUGUGCAAUCUGUUUAGACUACGACUUCCGCUUUUGGCGCUGUUUGCGCCAAUACAACGUAACCACUAGUGACGUUUAACUCUAGUUCACCAAUCAACCGCCCAAGUAAUCCAUACAUACAAAGAAAGUAGAACAAAUAAGAUCAGAAAUCAAGUUGUGAAAUGACACAGGGAAAAAGUAUUGAACACAUGAAGAAAGGGAGGUGCAAAAAGGCAUGGGAAGCCAAGACAACACCUAAAGUCUAUCAAUAAUCAGACAGCAAUCCAGCCCCUUGUCAGUGCAAAUGAAUAUCAGCUGGUUCAGUCCUAAUUGAUGGCCUACAAAAAGGUCUCUUUGCCAAGUUGUGAGUCGAGACACAUUUCUUGAUGGGUAAGAGCAGAGCUGUCUCAAGACCUUCGCAAACUAAUUGUUGCAAAACAUAACGAUGACAUUGGUUACAGGCACAUAUCUAAGCUUCUGAACAUUCCAGUGAGCAUGGUUGGGGCCAUAACACGCAAGUGGAAAGCAAAUCAUACCACCAUAAAUUUGCCUCGAUCAGGUGCUCCUCACAAGACUUCUGACAGAGGAGUGAAAAGAAUAAUCCGAAGAGUUGUCCAAGAUCCAAGGACUACCUGUGGAGAGCUUCAAAAAGACCUGGAAUGAGCAGGUACUGUUGUCACAAGGAAAAAAGUGAGUAAUGUACUCCACCACCAUGGCCUGCAUCCAUGCUCACCACGCAAGACCCCCAUUGCUGGGGAAAAAAAAAAAAAAAAAAAGCAUGUAAAAGCUUUAAAGUUGAACAACAUUUGGACAAGUCAGUUAAAUACUGGGAGAAUAUAGUGUGGUCGGAUGAGAGCAAAAUUGAACUGUUUGGAUGCCAUAAUGUACAUGUUUGGAAGAGUAAUGGCAUUACACCUCACCCUAAAAACACCAUAACAACAGUGAAGUUCAGAGGUGGGAACGUGAGGGUGUGGGGCUGCUUUUCAGCAAAUGAUAUUGGUAAACUUCACGUUAUUGAAGGAAGGAUGAAUGUGCAAAUGUACCGAGACAUUCUUGACACAAAUCUGCAAGGGUGAUGAAAAUUAUACGAAGGUGGACAUUUCAGCAGGAUAAUGAUCCAAAACAUACUGCCAAGGAAACUCCCAAUUAGUUUCAAAGAAAAAAAAUAAAGCUGCUAGAAAGGCCCAGCCAAUUACCUGAUUUAAAUCUAAUUGAAAAUCUAUGGAAAUAACUGAAACUCAAGGCCAAUAAAAUAAGCCCACGGAACCUUCAUGAUUUGAGGACUGCUUGUGUGGAGGAAUGGGCCAAAAUCACACCAGGGCAAUGCAUGCGACUAGUUUCUCCAUACAGGAGGUGUCUUGAAGCUGUCAUUGCAAACAAAGGCUUUUGUAUAAACUAUUAAAUAAAUGCCAUUUGGUGUGUUCAAUACUUUUCCCUGUCUCAUUUCACAUUGUUACACACGCUCCUUCAGGAGAUGGAGAAGAUGCUCCUGAAUGUCCUGCUCUUUUCCAUCUGCACUUUUACAUUUCCUUUCCUGUAUGAAAUGGAAACAACACUUUGUGGUACAAAGCAGUUUGUAAAGUUUAUAUUUAUUAAUAUCAAUAAUGAAUUUUAUUUUGGGUGCCUUUCAUGUCACCUUAGGGUUAAAAGAACAAUUUAAAAUUAAUACAAAAUUAACAAUAAAAUACAGCAGCACAGUACACAAGAAUCAAUACAAGACGAAAGUAGUUAAAACCAAACCACUUAUGAUGAAUAUGCCUGUUAAAAUAUUGAAAUCAGAGCCCAGACUCAAAAAUAAAAAGUAUGGAAUAUAGUACUAGUCAUGGUGAAAAGCAUCCCAUAAUUGCAUAUACAGGUGGUAUACUUGUUCGAAAAUACAUUUCUAUUAAAGUUUUAUGUACAUCCCCCCCCCCAGUCUUUUGAGCAGGGGCAGUGGCAACAGAUGUAGCCUCCUGUUCUCCUUGACACUCCUGUUCGUCCUCAUAUGUCAGCUUCUUCUCCAAGAGCAGAGGAGAUCACAAAGUGCUUGGCAGAAACGAUCGUGGAAGUCCUGCAACCUCUUUCCAUGGCAUCGGACAAGUUGGACUGAUGCCCUAAUUGAAAUGCACAGGUACUCAGAGGAAAGGCCAGUUCCUCUGGAUCAGGAUCCACUACUUCAGUGAAAAAAACAAUCAACGCACAUUCCCCUCUCUGAGUAAAUUUGCCCAAAAAAAGUACCUGGCAAUGGAUGCAACAUCAGUGCCAGCCGAGAUGAUGUUUUUCAAAAGCUGUGCAGUUAGUAAGUCGCAUGCAAAGUGCGUUAAAAACAAAAAAUGUCAACAUGAUACUGUUGAACAGAAACCUGUAACCUUUUUUAGCUAAAGGCUUUGUGGAUUGUUUAGUUGUUUACACUGUAUUGUAUUAUUAUUAUUUUAUUUUUUUUACCAGUUUUUGUUUUUGUUUUGAUUUGUUCAAAAACAGAAAAUAAUGCACUGAAGGGUAGAAAUGUUUUAUUUUUGUAUUGGAUUCCCUGAACACACAUUGGACUUGAAAAAUAAUUGGUUUUAAAUGUUUUAUAAGUUUUAUUUAUAAUAUUUGUUGUGGAGUUAAAACAAAAUCCAGAAAAGAAGUGCAAUGUAGGAGAAUUAAAUUUUUGAACAGCAGCUUCUGAAAAAGUACCUGGAAAAAAAUAAUUUGGUUUCCGGUGAUCAGUUGUGUGUGAUCACUGUGCAGUGUUUUUAUUCCCUCACCCCUCCAAAAAAAAAAUAAUCCAGACAUGACAAUGUAUGGGGAACAAUUGUUUUGUUACUGUUCGAUUGCUUCUGAAAGAAAAUAUUUGGAUGAUAAAAUAUUUUCUAUUUAACAAUAAACUUUGUCCUAAUCCUG